UACGAAGGGGGCUAGCGUUGUUCGGAAUUAUUGGGCGUAAAGCGCGCGCAGGCGGGUCAUUAAGUCAGGGGUGAAAGCCCAGAGCUCAACUCUGGAACUGCCCUUGAAACUGGUGACCUUGAGUACGGGAGAGGUGAGUGGAAUUCCCAGUGUAGAGGUGAAAUGCGUAGAGAUUGGGAAGAACACCGGUGGCGAAGGCGGCUCACUGGCCCGUAACUGACGCUGAGGUGCGAAAGCGUGGGGAGCAAACAGG
rnacentral:rRNA from 1 species